UUUUAAAUAAAAUAUUUUGAAAUAUUUUUCAGUACACUUGCUCCUAAAAGCAUUUCAAAAAUGUAAAACUAGAAACAAGACUUUGAAAGGGAAGUUAAAGAUUAAAAGUAUGGUGCUAGAAUUUUAUCCUUCAUCAUUUCUAUCGGUGAUUCAAGUCUAGAAACAAGAUCUUGAAGGAUCAAUUGUCUCCUCCCAUAUUUGUUGUUUGAUUUCUCUCUCUUUCCUACAUUUAUGUAAGUAGCUAAACCUCUUUCGAAUUAUUUCUUUUUAAUAGACAAAAAAAUAUAUAUUAAAAAAACAUUUGAAACACAAAAAAUGUUUAGAACAAGAACAUAAGAAAAUUUAUAAUCCUUUUAACAUAUAACCAAAUCAAAACAUAAACAUAUACCUAAACUAAACUACUCAAACAAAAAGCAAAACAAUUAAUCAGAAGCAAUGUCAAUGCACUUCAAUGGUUGACAGCAACAUUGAGUACCUAUAACAAAAUCUUUUCACAUGCAAUUUUAUCUACCUCCAUCUUAAAAGUUUAAUCUACUCCAUAAUAAGAUUUGCAUUUAAAAAUGUGAAUGAAAAAUUGACUCAUUUCUUGAUUUCCAAAUCACCUACGUCACCGCAAACCAAACUAAAUUAAUUCUUUGACGCAUUACACGACAACAUAAAAAAAAUUCACCAAAUUGGUUAGCGCGAUUGAUUGCAUCUAUAGAAAAUACAUCUGAUAGUCCAAACCAAUUUAAAAUAUUGUACCACACAAAUCCAAAAGAGAUGGCACACAAGGAACAAAUGACGGACUAUUUCAACUUCUCUGCAACCUACUACACCUUGUUGAUCUUCAAACGAAAUUAUUCAUCGGCGGAACAAAUUAUCAUUUUUAGGCAACCUAUUUUGAAACAAUUUCUACACAAGUAAUGAUACUUUUGAAUGGAUAAAAGGAUGUCACACUUGGUCUUGAAAUAGAGGUGCAGUGACAUCCGCAACAAACUCAUCGUGCAACACAAAAUAUGUCUCUUUUAUCGAAUAUAGUCCUCAUUGCAUAUUAUUCAACGACCGCUUAUCUGCUACAUUAACUUACAAAUGAACGUUAGUCAAUAAAAUUCUACAUUGUUCCACUAAUUCUUCCUCUCACACAAACAACUGCCUGCACAAUCUCCGCCCUUAAACAUCCUCAAGUCACAACAACUCUAAUAGAAUUAUUAUAAUAUACAAAACUCUUGUAAGUUUAUGAAUUGUUAAUUCAAUAAUAAGAGUUUAUGAAUUGUUAAUUCAAUAAUAUGAAUUUAAUGUUGUAACUUUGAGAGUGACUAAAGUCAAAUCUAUUCGUAAAUAGUAGUAAAAUGAUCAUUGAUGUUAUUUUAAUAAUAAAUUCUUCUUCACCUGACUUUAAAAAAAAACAAAACAAAAACAUGGUUGAAUUGAAAGGGAAAAAAAUAGUCCCUUAUUAUAAUUUACCAAGUAAGAUUUAUUUUAUUUUAAAAUAAAAAAUAAAUAAAUUUUACCGCAGAAUAUUGCACUUAAUUAUCAUAUUCUUCAUGUUUCCAGUGUGCAAAAACCAUGUGCUACACAUAGAAAUCCAAAUAAAAUAUAUAUGUUGUCACAUAUAUAAAAAGUAAAAUACUAAUUAAGAAAGAAAAAAAUCUACGGUAAGAAUUUUUUUUGUUCUUUUAAAACAGGCAAUUUUGAUUAUUAAAAAAUUUGUCUCCUUUUUUUCUUUAAUUAUAUUUUUUGGAUAUAAUUUGUAACAAUUUUAGUAAAUAUAAAAAGAAAAGGAAGAAAAAUUAAACAAAUGAUUACAUCUUGUUAAUUUUCAAGAAUUUUGAUUGUAAAUUCUUAUGGUGUGUACUGUGUACGCAGAAUAUAAAGUAAGGUUUACUGAUCAAAGGUUACAAAAAAGAAAACUUUUUCUUUAUAUAGCACAGAAGAAAAUUUUGAAUAUUUGCUGUUUGAAAUUGAGUUAUAUCAUUGUUUAACUGUCAUGCAUUUUCAUGUGUAAAUAUAAGAUUUAUUUAAAUUAUUUAAAAAUUAUGAAAAAUAAAAUUUUACUGAGAAAAUAACAAAAUACUAAAAUUAUAUAAAAAUAAUAUAAAGAAGAUUCAAUUAAUUAAAAAUAUAAAAUAAAACUUAGGGAAAAUAAACCAAACAUAAGGAACAAAAGAAAAAUAAAUUAAAACAAAAAAAUAAUCUUAAUAUAUGAUGAAAGAAAUUGGAACGAAUAAAAUUAGAGAUUUCCACUAAGUAUAUUCUCUAGAACUAACCUUAAAAUAAGUUAAAUUAUCAACACAAAUGUUAACUUCUUUAUAAAUUUGAACACCUUUAAACAAAUAAGAGAAUGUAAAUCCAAAAAUUUAAAACAUUUGAAAUAUUUUUCAGUACACGUGCCCCCAAAAGCAUUUCAAAAAUGUAAAACUAGAAACAAGAUUUUGAAAAUGUAAAACUAGAAACAAGACUUUGAAGGGGAAGUUAAAGAUUAAAAGUAUGGUGCUAGAAUUUUAUCCUACAUCAUUUCUAUUGGUGAUUCAAGUCUAGAAACAAGAUCUUGAAGGAUCAAUUGUCUCCUACCAUAUGUGUUGUUUGAUUUUUCUCUCUCUAUUUUUUACAUUUUUACAAGUAGCUAAACCUCUUUCGAUUUAAUGUUUUUUCAAUAAGUCAAAAAUGAAUAUAUUAAAAAAUAUAUUAUAAGCACAAAAAAUAAUUAGAACAUGAACAUAAUAAAAUUUAUAAUUUUUUUUACUGUAUAUUAAAAUAAGUCAGAAACACAAACUAAAAUAUAUAAACAAAAAACAAAACAAUUAACUACAAGCGAUGUCAAAUCGCCUCAUUUCUUGAUUUCCAGAUCAACCACGUCACCGCAAACCAAACUAAAUUAAUUAUUUGACGCAUUUCACGAUCACAUAAAUAAAUGUCAUCAAAUUGGUUAGCGUGGUUGAUUGCAUUUAUAGGAAACACACCCGAUAGUCCAAACCAAUUCAAAAAAUUGUACCACACAAAUCCAAAAAGAGAACACACAAAUAACAAACGAGAGAUUGUAACUUCUCUGCAACCUGUUACACAUUGUUGAUCUUCAAAAGAAAUGAUUCAUAGACGAUAUAAAUUAUCCUUUGUAGGAAAUCUAUUUUGAAACAAUUUUCACACAAAUAAUAAUACUUUUGAAUAGACAAAAGGAUGUCAUAAUAGGUCUUGAAAUAGAGGUGCAAUGACAUUCACGACAAACUCAUCCUGCCGCACAAAAUACGUCUCUUGUACCGGAUAAAAUCCUUAUUGCAUAUUAUUACACGGCUACUUAUUUGCUACAUUAGCCUACAAAUGAACGUUAGCCAAUAAAAUCUUACAUUGCUCCACUAAUUCAUCCUCCCACAUAAACAAUUGUCUACGCCAUCUUCAUCCUUAAACAUCAAGUCACAUCAACUCUAGCAAAACCUCUACAGUUUCCUCUUGUUGCAAAGACAAAUGAAAUAACCUACUAAAUUUCUCACACAAAACCCAACCAACCAUGGAUCAUUCCAAAAUAAAGUAUUACUACAAUUCCCAAAAAAAUUAAAUAAUCUUUCAUCAAAUCAUUCAUGUUCAAUACCAACUCUUCCCGCAAAAAUAUUCUUUCACCAUACAAACUCUCUUGAACUGCUCCCUAAAUCUCCCAACUUCCACUCUAGAUUUACUUAUCAACACCUUAACCCAUAAGUCCUCUAACUCCCUUUAAAGCUAGUGUUAGAUGAAAAAAUUGAUAUUCUUAUGUAGUUAACUUUUUUUAUUCCUUUUAAGUUAUUUUCUUGUAUUUAAACCCUCUUAUGUGUUGUUAAUAUUUCUCAAUAUUUGAUGGAUUUAAAUAUUGCAUUGAGUUUAUAUUAUUAUAAUUAUAAUUGAAUAUAGAAACACAUCGCUAUAUAACUAUUAGUUCUAUGAAAUCAUUCUUCUUAGUUCUUAAUAUAAAUAAAUAAUGAAUUGAUGAUCUUUAUUUAUAAUAAAGAGGCUUAUAAUCAAAUAACUUAUUUUGGUCUAAAAUUAUUGAUCAAAAUCUCAAUUGUAUUUUUAUUGUUUGGUUAGUUAUCUAAGUCAAUUAGACUAUUAGAGGGUAACUAGAUCGCCUCAAUUUUCCAUUACUCUAGUCAAGACCGUCAUGCAAGUUUGGGCAAGUAUGAGAGUUAAAAUAUAAGCAUGUCAAUCGUUCAGGCAUCAUCAUGCAUAUGAGGCUUUGGACUAUCAUAAUAUAUCUCAUUUGGGUAGAGUAUGCAAAGACUCAAUAUGUAUUGUGAUCUAAAGUCUAGCAUAAGUUAGAGCAUCUCCAACCAUGAAUUUAAUAUGGGUUCAUUAAAUGGGGUCCACCGUGCCACAUCAUCUUGAAAUAACUCAUUCAUUUUUUACUCCAACGGUGAACUCACAUGUUCAUUAGAUAGGUCCACCACUAACAAAUUAUUUAUUUAUUAUUAUUCAUAAAUUAAUAGUAAAAAAAAGAUAACCUUAUCAAAGUACCGUUGCUUCGUGAGAGAACGGUGAUAACAGUUUGACACAUCUCCAACAGUAAACUCACUAAAAACUGAAGGUUACGUAAUUACACAUGGCGGACGAAUUCAUUUUAACUACCGUUAGAGAUGCUAGAAAUCUAACUUAUUAAGUCUAUAUACACACGCACGAUCGCGACUACAUAGUGAGAAGUUAAGAAAAGAUAAUGGGAAACCCAAAAGGGAUGUCCAAGAAACAAGAGGCAGUUACCAAAAAAACAAGCCCCUAAAACCCUAAUAUGGAGUCUAUAUAAGGAGGGGAAGGAUUCAAAAGAAAGAUUAUCACAUUCUUUAAUACUCGUUACAAAAAUCUGAAACUUUAUCACGUCACAUUACAAUAUCAGUAACAAUGAAAUUUGAAUAUUAGUCAUUUUUUAAAUCAACUUUUAAUCUAACUUUAAAUUAUAAUUAAUUUUGAAAGCAAUUUUGUCUCGUUAAAAUAUAGAACCAAACAAACAUACACGUAUUAGUAUUACGGAACCAUGUUUUUGCCAACAAGUUCAACUCUAUUUUUAUUUUGGAAAAUUUUAUUCCAUACCCACUCAAUUACACUCAUAUCCCACAUUUUAAUAAAUAUUCAAUUUUAUCUUUUAAAAAAAAACACAAGCUUUAUAUUUUUCGGUACAAAUUAGUAUUCCGAAAAAAUGUUUUGGAAGAAAUUUUUUGAAACACAAAUUUUGAAAUUUUUAAAAUACAUUUAUGUUUUGAAAUCCAUAAUACAAAUAUAUUUUGAAAAAUUUGAAAAAAGUUUUUCGAUAAACAAAAUAUCGAAUUUUAUUAAACAAAUUUGUGUUACGGAAAACUUUUAUAAAUUUUCAAAACCCAAGUUUGAAUUUCAUGGAGUAUAAAAAAUUUGAAAAUAAUAAAAUAGAGAAUUUGUGUAAAAUAUUAAGAUAGGAGUAUUUUUUGUGUUUGUUUGUUAAAUUUAGGAUAAUAGUAUAAAUAUGGGAUACUGCCUAAAAUUUUCCUAUUUUUGUGAGCUCUAUUGGGCAUCAGUGCCUAAUUGGGCCGCGAGCAAGUCAUUAUUUUCAUAUGCAAUGGAAUUGCAAAUAAAAUCAUUAGGCAUUGUUGAACAAAAAACAUAUCCUGUGAAUAUCGAUGGAACUGCAAAAUAAACUUGUCAUCUAAGUGGCCCUCAAAAUUUGGAUUCAUUCUUUUGUCAAUAAAGAUUCGGCAGUUGACACAUUCUACAUUCUUUGAAACAAUUACCUCAUUCUUGUGCCACAAAGUUAUGUAUUUCAGUUUUUUAUACAUUAAGUAUGUAUUUGAUCUUUAUAUUUAUAAUUUAAAUUUACUUGUCAUGUAUUGUUAUAACAAAAAAUUUACAUUAUUUAUACAUUACAACUAUUUAUGAGCUAUGUUUAUCGUAUAUUAAUUAAAUUCUUAUAAAUUUUUCCUCUUAAAUAUACAUCUAUAAUAAAACUUAUUAUAAAAUUAUUUAAUACUAAACAAUACUUCAAUUUUAUCAUCUUUCCCUCUAAAUCAAAGGCCGUUGAAGUUUAUCCAAAUAAUAACAAACCUAUAACUUAAUUUCUUUCGAUUGAUUCAAGUCUUUUUUAUCAAAUAAUAUCAACCUUGUAACUUCAUGAGCGCUCUUUGAAUAUUAAGGUUUAAAUUUUGUUUAAUUAAAAAAAUAAUAAUUCAAGUCAAUGUAAAGUAGACAAGGAAAACUUCUUAAUUGUUCCAGAUGAUUUUCCGUCUCCUCAACCUUAUCUAUACAAUAGAUAUAACCCUGCUCUACUAAACCGUACGUUGUUGAAACAUUAGGUUUAUUAUAAUUAUUAGUAUUAUAUUAGUUAGAAGAACAAAAUUUGGUUCAUUGUUGUUGAAAAAUAUUAUUUGUUCUUGAUUCACUCUUCCAAUUCCAACAAACAAACAAGUCAUCAAUAAAAAUACUAAACUAGAUCUAAUUAUAUUUUCGGGUCCCUACAUAGAAACUUCAUACUUAUCUAAAACGAGCAUAUCAUCCACCAAGUAAUGUCCCCCUUGACUAAACUAACUUAACUACUUUCAAAUAUCUGUUAAAUUAAACUGUUGCUCUGUCGUUUGAAACAGAUUUCAUAUUCAAAUCCAAACGAGAAUUGAAAAUUUACCAAUUACCAUUGCACAAAAAAAUAUUGGAAUGAACUUAUAUUAAAAUUUGAGAUUUUAACGGGUUUUUUUCAAUUCUAAACUUUUUUUCUUUUUUCAACUAAGCCUGGAGUUCAGGACAGAUAAUUUUCGUUCGUUCUCUUCACUUCUUGGAAAUGAAUUUCAAACACUCUCCCCAAACCAACCAUCACUAAUAACGAGUCCUCUCUCUGUACAUUAACCAAAAUUAUUAUUCUCUAAAUAUAAAAUAAAAACGGGAUUAAAAAAAAAAACUUGUUCAUUUUUCCCCCAACUAAGAUGAAAACCACCAUCUUCAUUUUUUCUCAUUCAACCCUAAUUUCAUUCCAUUCCAUUAUCCGAUGCUAUUUACGAAUCGAUCCUGCUAAUUCCAAUUCUCUUCACCGAACCAUUCCUAAAACCAUCAUCAUUUUUUUGAUAACACAUCCCAUUCUGCUGCUCCAAUCCCGCCAUGUAACUCCUCACCUCCGUCCUUAUCAUUUCCUGCAUCACUGUCAACAACUCCGAACUGAAAUUAAACGGCACGACCGAUCCCCUCUGAGCUUCGUUAAACUGAUGCAUCGGAACCGCCAUCGGUAUAGAAACCGUCGGUGCCGUCAUUAUCGGCAGCAGAGGAAUCGGAAUCGCACUUGGCGGUUGAGGCGGCGGCGGUACGGGAUUUGUUUUUUCAGUUACGCGGUUAGAAUCUUCGGAUGAAGAAUCGACGCCGGGAAGUGAAAGUGAUAACGAAGUUGGAGGAUCAUUGGAUUUUGAAGACGACGUCGUUUCUACCGGGGGUAGAAUCGUAACUGUCCUUGGAACGGGUCGGUAAAUAUGUGAUGACGACACAACUGGUACGCUGGACUCACUCACAUCGGAUCCGGAAGGACUACCAGGUGUGGGAGGGUUCAUGUAAAGUCCAGUGGAAACAGGUAUAGCAGCACCAGCACUAACCGAUCUUUUCAACGGUUGAGAUUCAUCGAUCAUGAUGGAAGAGCACUUACGUUUUAAAGUAGAGUUCCAGUGGUUUUUAAUAGCGUUGUCUGUUCGGCCAGAUAAAAGACGGGCUAUUGUGGCCCAUUUAUUUCCGAAACGGGCAUGGGCUCUGACUAUAGUAUCAUCCUCUUCAGGUGUGAAGGCCCGGUGCUCUACCUGAGGAGAGAGUUGAUUACAC
rnacentral:lncRNA from 1 species